rnacentral:rRNA from 1 species
CCUACGGGAGGCCGCAGUGGGGGAUAUUGGACAAUGGGCGCAAGCCUGACCCAGCAACGCCGCGUGAGGGAAGAAGGCUUUCGGUUUGUAAACCUCUUUUCGAAGGGACGAAAGAAAUGACGGUACCUCAGGAAUAAGCCACGGCUAACUACGUGCCAGCAGCCGCGGUAAUACGUAGGUGGCAAGCGUUAUCCGGAGUUAUUGGGUGUAAAGGGAGGGUAGGCGGGAAAGCAAGUCAGGUGUGAAAACGCAGGGCUCAACCCUCAGACUGCACUUGAAACUGUUUUUCUUGAGUGCAGGAGAGGCAAGCGGAAUUCCGUGUGUAGCGGUGAAAUGCGUAGAUAUACGGAGGAACACCAGUGGCGAAGGCGGAUUGCUGGACAGUAACUGACGCUGAGGCUCGAAAGCGUGGGGAGCAAACAGGAUUAGAUACCCCUGUAGUC